rnacentral:rRNA from 1 species
GAGGAAGGUGGGGAUGACGUCAAGUCCUCAUGGCCUUUAUGUCCAGGGCUACACACGUGCUACAAUGGCGCGUACAGAGGGAAGCCAAGCCGCGAGGUGGAGUAGACCCCAGAAAGCGCGUCGUAGUUCGGAUUGCAGUCUGCAACUCGACUGCAUGAAGUCGGAAUCGCUAGUAAUCGCGGAUCAGCAUGCCGCGGUGAAUACGUUCCCGGGCCUUGUACACACCGCCCGUCACACCAUAGGAGUGGAUUGUACCAGAAGCAGCUAGCCUAACCUUCGGGAGGGCGGUUACCACGGUAUGGUUCAUGACUGGGGUGAAGUCG